GAUGAACGCUAGCGGCAGGCUUAACACAUGCAAGUCGAGGGGUAUAGUUCUUCGGAAUUAGAGACCGGCGCACGGGUGCGUAACGCGUAUGCAAUCUACCUUUCACAGAGGGAUAGCCCAGAGAAAUUUGGAUUAAUACCUCAUAGUAUAGCAGUUUCGCAUGAAACCACUAUUAAAGUCACAACGGUGAAAGAUGAGCAUGCGUCCCAUUAGCUAGUUGGUAAGGUAACGGCUUACCAAGGCAACGAUGGGUAGGGGUCCUGAGAGGGAGAUCCCCCACACUGGUACUGAGACACGGACCAGACUCCUACGGGAGGCAGCAGUGAGGAAUAUUGGACAAUGGGCGCAAGCCUGAUCCAGCCAUGCCGCGUGCAGGAUGACGGUCCUAUGGAUUGUAAACUGCUUUUAUACAGGAAGAAACACUACUUCGUGAAGUAGCUUGACGGUACUGUAAGAAUAAGGNUCGGCUAACUCCGUGCCAGCAGCC
rnacentral:rRNA from 1 species